rnacentral:rRNA from 1 species
AUUGAACGCUGGCGGCAUGCCUUACACAUGCAAGUCGAACGGCAGCACGGGUGCUUGCACCUGGUGGCGAGUGGCGAACGGGUGAGUAAUACAUCGGAACAUGUCCUGUAGUGGGGGAUAGCCCGGCGAAAGCCGGAUUAAUACCGCAUACGAUCUACGGAUGAAAGCGGGGGACCUUCGGGCCUCGCGCUAUAGGGUUGGCCGAUGGCUGAUUAGCUAGUUGGUGGGGUAAAGGCCUACCAAGGCGACGAUCAGUAGCUGGUCUGAGAGGACGACCAGCCACACUGGGACUGAGACACGGCCCAGACUCCUACGGGAGGCAGCAGUGGGGAAUUUUGGACAAUGGGCGAAAGCCUGAUCCAGCAAUGCCGCGUGUGUGAAGAAGGCCUUCGGGUUGUAAAGCACUUUUGUCCGGAAAGAAAUCCUUGGCCCUAAUACGGUCGGGGGAUGACGGUACCGGAAGAAUAAGCACCGGUUAACUACGUG